GCGCCCGUAUUUCAAUGGAUAGAAUAAGAGCCUCCGAAGCUUUAGAUACAGGUUCGAUUCCUGUCGGGCGCGCCA
rnacentral:tRNA from 1 species